rnacentral:rRNA from 1 species
UUCCGGUUGAUCCUGCCGGAGGCCAUUGCUAUCGGGGUCCGAUUUAGCCAUGCUAGUCGCACGGGUUCAGACCCGUGGCAAACAGCUCAGUAACGCGUGGCCAAACUACCCUAUGGACGUGGACACCCUCGGGAAACUGAGGCUAAUCCACGAUACGGCUCCCACGCUGGAAUGCGGGGAGCCGGAAACGCUCCGGCGCCCUAGGAUGUGGCUGCGGUCGAUUAGGUAGACGGUGGGGUAACGGCCCACCGGGCCCAUAAUCGGUACGGGAUGUGAGAGCAAAUAGCCCGGAGAUGGUAUCUGAGACAAGAUACCAGGCCCUACGGGGCGCAGCAGGCGCGAAACCUUUACACUGCACGCCAGUGCGAUAAGGGGACCCCGAGUGCGAGGGCAUACAGUCCUCGCUUUUGUACACCGUAAGGAGGUGUACGAAUAAGGGCUGGGCAAGACCGGUGCCAGCCGCCGCGGUAAUACCGGCAGCCCGAGUGAUGGCCGCUGUUAUUGGGCCUAAAGCGUCCGUAGCCGGCCGAACAAGUCUGUCGGGAAAUCCAUCCGCCUAACGGAUGGGCGUCCGGCAGAAACUGUUCGGCUUGGGGCCGGAAGAUCCGAGGGGUACGUCUGGGGUAGGAGUGAAAUCCUGUAAUCCUGGACGGACCGCCGGUGGCGAAAGCGCCUCGGAAGGACGGACCCGACGGUGAGGGACGAAAGCUGGGGUCUCGAACCGGAUUAGAUACCCGGGUAGUCCCAGCCGUAAACGAUGAUCGCUAGGUGUGGCACAGGCUACGAGCCUGUGCUGUGCCGUAGGGAAGCCGUGAAGCGAUCCGCCUGGGAAGUACGUCCGAAGGAUGAAACUUAAAGGAAUUGGCGGGGGAGCACUACAACCGGAGGAGCCUGCGGUUCAAUUGGAUUCAACGCCGGA